rnacentral:rRNA from 1 species
UACGUAGGGUGCAAGCGUUUGUCCGGAAUUAUUGGGCGUAAAGAGCUCGUAGGCGGUUUGUCGCGUCGAAUGUGAAAACCCGGGGGCUCAACCCCGGGCCUGCAUUCGAUACGGGCAGACUAGAGUUCGGUAGGGGGAGUCUGGAAUUCCUGGUGUAGCGGUGAAAUGCGCAGAUAUCAGGAGGAACACCGGUGGCGAAGGCGGGACUCUGGGCCGAUACUGACGCUGAGGAGCGAAAGC